rnacentral:rRNA from 1 species
CCCUUAGAUGUUCUGGGCCGCACGCGCGCUACACUGAUGCAUUCAACGAGCCUAUCCUUGACCGACAGGUCCGGGUAAUCUUUGAAUCUGCAUCGUGACGGGGAUAGAUUAUUGCAAUUAUUAAUCUUCAACGAGGAAUGCCUAGUAGGCGCAAGUCAUCAGCUUGCGUCGAUUACGUCCCUGCCCUUUGUACACACCGCCCGUCGCUCCUACCGAUUGGGUGUGCUGGUGAAAUGUUCGGAUCGGCCGUUUGUCGCGGUUUCCGCGUAAUGUGGCUGAGAAGUUCAUUAAACCCUCCCACCUAGAGGAAGGAGAAGUCGUAACA